UUUGAGGCCGAGAGCCUCUCCUGCUCCCGGCGGCUUAUGUCUUCCUGGCGCACUAUUGAUCUGAAGAAUUCCUACCAAACCCGAGCAAUCGGCCUGGAACUGGAAUUGGAAGAAUCUCUCUUUUCUCUUCAUCUGGAAUUGGAAGAAUCUUUCUUCAGCGUUACAGUUCCUGUCAUAACCACCGUGAGAUCUAAAGCCGCCGCCGAGUUUAGAUCGAUCAAGUUCAUCGACAGUCCGCUCUCGUGGACCAAACGCUACGGUCAUUUUAUCUUCCUCACCUACUCGAUUUCGGCAAACUAUUUUGUUUACAGAGAAUAUGCAGUUCUAAUCCUCUGGAAAUCAAUUCCAUAGAUAAGCACUCCAGAGCGCCCUUCUUAUGAACCACAUUCCACUUAUAUGCUUUCAGCAUUGUUGGUUGAUUAAUUUGGUGAAACAUUGCUAGACGAUAUCCUCUCUGCGAUGUGCUUCUGUUUUAUUACAACCAGGUGAGUUCUGCUUCUUCGUCGGUCACUGAUUUUCCUUUCGAUAUAUCCUCUCUGCGAUGUGCUUCUGUUCUAUUACAACCAAUUAUACGGUCGUUGGAAGGUCCUUCUUUUCCCCAAGCCUUGGUCUAGAGUAUUGGCUAGGGUUCUACCAAAGCCUUCGUCCUACUCAGGUGGGACUAUCGCUUAAUAUCGGUUUGUAGUCUAUCUACAUGUCUUCAAUUCUUUUUGCAUAUAUAAGAAUCUUCACAGCAAUAGCCAUGGUGAAGGGGUGUCAAGGAGAAACUAUCAGGCUUUAUGUGCGAGGCACGAUUUUAGGAUACAAAAGAUCGAAGUCAAAUCAGUAUCCGAGCACUUCAUUGUUACAGAUCGAGGGAGUUAACACAAAAGAGGAAGUUACAUGGUACCAAGGGAAACGCAUUGCCUAUAUAUACAAGGCCAAGGUGAAGAAGAACGGAUCACACUGAUAUCUGAGGUGAGAUAUCAGAUAUAUAUUGUAAUAUAUGUUUGAACGUUGGGGAAGAUCUCACGUCCUCAUGGUAACUGUGGAGUUGUUCGAGCUAAGGGGGAUAGAGUGAGGGUUUUCAUGUACCCAAGCAAUAUCUGAGGUGAGUUAUCUGUUUAAUAUGGUUGUUUUUCAAUAAUAUGCAUUGUUCCUUGGUGAAAAAACUACUUAGUAUUAGUUUUUGUUGAAUGGUUCUUAAAAACUGACCCUAUCUGGUUCUGUGUUUUUUAGCUUUGUUAAGUCUCUCUGAACUUUCUAAAAUACUGUUAAUUAGAAAUUGACAGUACCGAGCUCUAUCAACUAAUAUGUCAGAAAAAAUCCAACUUUCAAUGUAGAUUGUCCUAGAUAUGUAACAACGAUACAUUUUGACUUCAUUUUGAUUGUUAAAUAAUUUAUUUAUAUA